rnacentral:rRNA from 1 species
UACGUAGGGGGCGAGCGUUGUCCGGAGUUACUGGGCGUAAAGCGCUUGUAGGCGGUCCACCAAGUUUGGGGUGACAGUUGCCGACUUAAUCGGCAAAGUGCCUCAAAGACUGGCGGACUUGAGGGCCACAGAGGGACAUGGAACUCCAGGUGUAGUGGUGAAAUGCGUAGAUAUCUGGAAGAACACCAAAGGCGAAGGCAGUGUCCUGGGUGGUCGCUGACGCUGAGAGGCGAUAGCCAGGGGAGCGAACGGG